CCGAGUAUAUUUCAAGUAACGUCAUCCUUCCCAAGCCAACGCUGGUAUGAAGGGCGGAAACUCUUCUUUCCACUCCUCUGUCAUUUGCGGCUGUUCCCAUCUGCUCAGGGGCACUGCCUGCUCAGUCCUCGCUGCAGAGGGAUCUCCAGACACUCUGCCCUGGUCCUUCCCAUUUUCUUGAGCAAGUGGCUUUCCAACCGAAGCUUCAUGUGGGAGGCUUCAUGUUGGCAUCCAGGGUACAUGUCCCAAAUAUGUCCAGCCCCACCUUCUGAUCCUAGUGCAGAGGAGCUGCGGACAGAUGACAGUAGCUAUCCUCCUUCAAUACUGAGGAAAAGGCCACCUGUGGACCAAGCUGUGGGGGAAAAGAGGAAAGCAGAGAGAAGGGUUCGAUUUCGUGAGCCAGAAGAAGUCAUUGAACAUGCCAUUUCCUGCUGUGACUACAUGGUGGUAGAUGACAGGUCAUCAUCUGGAUUGCCCGUGCUCUUAUGGCUCUCAUUUUGUGCAGUGCUGGUCCUUGCUGUGAGUCUCUACUACACCAGCAUGAAGCAAGAUGUCAAAGUCCUGGAGGAAUUUCAAUCUCGACUUGUUAUCUUCUUUCUUCAGAUAAGGCACGUUGCUCAGAAAUGCUGGACUUGGUUUAUGAGGCAGUAGCAAUGUCCUCUGGCCUGACAGAUAUCUCAGAGCACUGCUAACCACCAUGUGGCAGUGCAAACCUCCCCGUCUCUUCCAGCCACAUGCGGGGAACACAUGAGCAUCCACCUUGAAGAGCAAGAAAACCACCCCUGUUGUGCACUGUCCGGCAGCUACUUGUUUCCCUUGGUUUUUUCUUUUUUUUUUUUUUUUUUUUUUUUUCCCCACAUUAUCAAACCAUGUUUCUCCUCAAGCCUCCUAAGAGCUAUUCUGCAAAAGUUAAAAUAAAGCUGAGCUAUUGCACA
rnacentral:lncRNA from 1 species